UUUCAGAAGGAAUACAAGAAGCAAGCGAAGAGAGAGAGACAUAUAUUUGGGUAAGGAUUAGCAAUGGAUUAGUAUGCGGUUACUACGACGCCAUAUAUUCGGUUGACUAUGAGUCCAGCGUUCAGUUGUGAUUGUGCAGGCACUCGGGAAGUAGUGUUUCGUUUGAUCUACAUAUUUUCAAAAAGUACUUGACUAUCGGUAGCUGCUGAAAGACCUAUACAUAUAAUUGGACAUUACGCGAAUUCCGUAAUUCGGCGAUUUUUCCAUAAGCACUGGCUUUCAAUCAGUCAUCACCGUGCCUAGUGCAUCGCAGUACUUAUUCAACUUCCAACCACGAAGGGCAGGAGUUACAUGGCAUCGCACAAUUCGUUUACAGGUACUCGGAUAUGCUGUCGCCGCAGUUAUGACCCCCUGGACUUCCCCUGUUCAUC